rnacentral:rRNA from 1 species
CACGUAGGGUGCAAGCGUUGUCCGGAUUCAUUGGGCGUAAAGGGCUAGUAGGCGGCUUAGCAAGUCGGGUGUGAAAACUUCAGGCUCAACCUGGAGCGGCCAUCCGAUACUGCUAUGGCUAGAGUCCGGUAGGGGACCACGGAAUUCCUGGUGUAGCGGUGAAAUGCGCAGAUAUCAGGAGGAACACCGGUGGCGAAGGCAGAUCUCUGGGCCGUAACUGACGCUGAGGAGCGAAAGCAUGGGGAGCGAACAGG